rnacentral:rRNA from 1 species
UUCUGGCUCAGGACGAACGCUGGCGGCGUGCUUAACACAUGCAAGUCGAACGGGAGUAUUGAAGAAGCUUGCUUUAGAGAUACUUUAGUGGCGGACGGGUGAGUAACGCGUGAGGAGCUGUCCUAUGCAGGGGGACAACAGCUGGAAACGGCUGCUAAUACCCCAUAAGCCGAGAGGUAAAAGGAUCAAUCCGGCAGAGGAGGUACUCGCGUCCUAUCAGCUAGUAGGUGAGGUAACGGCUCACCUAGGCGAAGACGGGUAGCCGGCCUGAGAGGGCGAACGGCCACACUGGAACUGAGAUACGGUCCAGACUCCUACGGGAGGCAGCAGUGGGGAAUAUUGGGCAAUGGGGGGAAACCCUGACCCAGCGACGCCGCGUGGGUGAAGAAAUCCUUCGGGAUGUAAAGCCCUGUUGUAUGGGAAGAGCGGAAGACGGUACCAUACGAGGAAGCCCCGGCAAACUACGUGCCAGCAGCCGC